AAUGAUGUGCCUGAAAAAAAAGGAUUAUUUUGAUAGAAUAAAUUAUAUAUUUAUUAUCUUCAUUA
rnacentral:tRNA from 1 species